AUUGAACGCUGGCGGCAUGCCUUACACAUGCAAGUCGAACGGCAGCACGGGGCAACCUGGUGGCGAGUGGCGAACGGGUGAGUAAUGCAUCGGAACGUACCUUUCAGUGGGGGAUAACGUAGCGAAAGUUACGCUAAUACCGCAUAUUCUGUGAGCAGGAAAGCAGGGGAUCGCAAGACCUUGCGCUGAUUGAGCGGCCGGUGUCAGAUUAGCUAGUUGGUGAGGUAAAGGCUCACCAAGGCGACGAUCUGUAGCGGGUCUGAGAGGAUGAUCCGCCACACUGGAACUGAGACACGGUCCAGACUCCUACGGGAGGCAGCAGUGGGGAAUUUUGGACAAUGGGGGCAACCCUGAUCCAGCCAUGCCGCGUGAGUGAAGAAGGCCUUCGGGUUGUAAAGCUCUUUCGGCCGGGAAGAAAUCGCGCGGGCUAAUACCCUGUGUGGAUGACGGUACCGGAAUAAGAAGCACCGGCUAACUACGUGCCAGCAGCCGCCGCAGUAA
rnacentral:rRNA from 1 species